AACUCAAAGAACAUACAAAGAACAGACGCGAUUAUUGCUAGUUGAAAACUUUACCCAAUACCCCGCCUUGACGACUUGAAAAAUAGUCGGCUAUGGCAAUUUUUGACAGUCUCUGAGGAGA
ensembl:snRNA U4 U4 spliceosomal RNA